GUGACAGGUGGUGCAUGGUUGUCGUCAGCUCGUGUCGUGAGAUGUUGGGUUAAGUCCCGCAACGAGCGCAACCCUUAAGCUUAGUUGCCAUCAUUAAGUUGGGCACUCUAGGUUGACUGCCGGUGACAAACCGGAGGAAGGUGGGGAUGACGUCAAAUCAUCAUGCCCCUUAUGAUUUGGGCUACACACGUGCUACAAUGGACAAUACAAAGGGCAGCUAAACCGCGAGGUCAUGCAAAUCCCAUAAAGUUGUUCUCAGUUCGGAUUGUAGUCUGCAACUCGACUACAUGAAGCUGGAAUCGCUAGUAAUCGUAGAUCAGCAUGCUACGGUGAAUACGUUCCCGGGUCUUGUACACACCGAAAA
rnacentral:rRNA from 1 species